rnacentral:lncRNA from 1 species
UUAAAGAAGAACUGCAGAUAUUCAAUUAAUUUCCAUCAUAUGCCUUCUAUGAUUGCUAAAAUGGGCACAGUGCUCUAUGAUUAUAAAGUCCUUAUAUAUUAUUACUAUUUUAAAAUCUCAGUUCACUAAGAUAAGAAAAAACUAUUACCAUCAUCAAUCCUAUGCUAGAGAUAAAGAAAAUAGGGUCCAAGUGAUUUGAAAUGGAGCAAAUAAUACAAUAGUGAUGAAAUGAUCAAUAAAUUAUUUCAGUGUGAUUAACCUUUUACACUUUUGAAGGUAGCAUAAUAAUUUAUACCAAAACCAACUACUUAAUCUCUUGAAAUUUAUCCUGGAUAACAAUAGAAGAGUAUGUGAAAAUCCAUAAAAAUUAGAGACAAUGUGUAUGUCCAGGUAUAAGAUGUUAGUUACAUACAUUAAUGUGUAACUGUUAAGAAGAGAGAGCUCUCUACUGAUGGAUAAAGGAAAGGGUCUCAUGACAUACAGGAAAGAAAAAGUUUAAAUAAAAGUCAAAAGCAGAUAUAAUAAUACUUCUUUUACGUUUUUUUUUUUAAUGUUCAAUGUCUUUGUCUCUCCAUCUAUCUAGAAAAUGUAGAAAAAUAUUUGGAUAUUGCAAAUUUAACAGUACCUACAUCUGAGUGGUAGCCUUUUGGAUAAUUUUUUAUUUCUUUAUCUUUCAUCAGCAUGUUCAUGUUAACAGAAAAAUAAAGUUAUUUUACCUUUUUAAUUAAAAUAUUUCUGCAGAAAUUUUGAACAAAUUGUAGAUGAUGAUAAGUGUUAC